AGCGAACGCUGGCGGCAGGCCUAACACAUGCAAGUCGAGCGCCCCGCAAGGGGAGCGGCAGACGGGAGAGUAACACGUGGGAACGUGCCCUUUGGUUCGGAACAACACAGGGAAACUUGUGCUAAUACCGGAUAAGCCCUUACGGGGAAAGAUUUAUCGCCAAAGGAUCGGCCCGCGUCUGAUUAGCUAGUUGGUGAGGUAAUGGCUCACCAAGGCGACGAUCAGUAGCUGGUCUGAGAGGAUGAUCAGCCUCACUGGGACUGAGACACGGCCCAGACUCCUACGGGAGGCAGCAGUGGGGAAUAUUGGACAAUGGGCGCAAGCCUGAUCCAGCCAUGCGGCGUGGAUGAUGAAGGCCCUAGGGUUGUAAAGUCCUUUCGACGGGGAAGAUAAUGACGGUACCCGUAGAAGAAGCCCCGGCUAACUUCGUGCCAGCCGCCGCGGUAAUAC
rnacentral:rRNA from 1 species